rnacentral:rRNA from 1 species
GAUGAACGCUAGCGACGGGCCUAACACAUGCAAGUCGAGGGGCAGCAUGAAAGUAGCUUGCUACUUUUGAUGGCGACCGGCGCACGGGUGCGUAACAGGUGUGCAAUCUGUCCAUAAUCGGGGAAUAGCCCAGCGAAAGUUGGAUUAAUGCUCCAUGUGAGUUUUAGAGGCAUCUCUUUAACUUGAAACGUAAGGAUUAUGGGUGAGCACGCUUCUGAUUAGGUAGUUGGUGAGGUAACGGCUCACCAAGCCGACGAUCAGUAGGGGUUCUGAGAGGAAGGUCCCCCACAUUGGAACUGAGACACGGUCCAAACUCCUACGGGAGGCAGCAGUGAGGAAUAUUGGUCAAUGGACGCAAGUCUGAACCAGCCAAGUCGCGUGAAGGAUGAAGGUUCUAUGGAUUGUAAACUUCUUUUGUCUGAGGGUAAAAAAGCGGACGUGUCCGUUCUUGCAAGUAUCAGACGAAUAAGCAUCGGCUAACUCCGUGCCAGCAGCCGCAGUAACAC